rnacentral:rRNA from 1 species
GACAGAGGGUGCAAACGUUGUUCGGAAUUACUGGGCGUAAAGCGUGUGUAGGCGGUCUACUAAGUCGGGUGUGAAAGCCCUGGGCUCAACCCAGGAAGUGCACUCGAAACUGGCAGGCUAGAGUACUGGAGAGGUUGGUGGAAUUCUCGGUGUAGAGGUGAAAUUCGUAGAUAUCGAGAGGAACACCGGUGGCGAAGGCGGCAUCCUGGACCGGCAUUGACGCUGAGGAGCGAAAGCCAGGGGAGCAAACAGG